CCUGUUCCCGGGAAUGGCAGGGGCGCCCGCGCGAGGAGGGUCGCCGGGAGAGCCGCCUCUCCUCCGAGCUGGAGCAGCCGUGACCCAGAUUACGACCGCGGCGGCCUCGCCCUGCCUAACCCCCCCUCUUCUUCCUCCAGGGGCACCCUUUGGAGAAGAACCCCAGCCUGGGGUGGGGACGCACCGGCUCUCCGGCAGCUCAAACACAGACAGAUCUUCUAGAGCAGGGGAAAUUUCUUUUCGCAGAAGCCAUUACUCCCCCCGAGAGAAGGCUGCAAAGCUGGGAAGCCUGGGGUGUGCUCCUCCCGCCCUUUUGGACCCCCGGGCUUGCACCGGCUGCACUCUGAGAACCAGCUGCGCGCCGAGCGGUGCAAUGCAGCACCCACCCUGUGGGCCUGGCAAUUGCUUGUCAUUAAAAGAAAAAAAAAAUUACGGAGGGCUCCGGGAGUGUGUGUUGGGGAGGGGAGACCGAUGCUUCUAACCCAGCCCCCGCUUU
rnacentral:antisense_RNA from 1 species